GACGAACGCUGGCGGCGUGCCUCAUACAUGCAAGUCGAACGCGAAAGUCGCCUUCGGGUGGCGAGUAGAGUGGCGAACGGGUGAGUAACACGUGGGUAAUCUGCCCUCAAGUUGUGGGAUAACCACUGGAAACGGUGGCUAAUACCCCUGCGGAUUCGGUUUUCUUUAGAAGGCCGAAUGAAAGGUGCUUUCCCUUCGGGGAUUGUAUCGCUCGAGGAGGAGCCCGCGGUCCAUUAGUUUGUUGGUGGGGUAAUGGCCUACCAAGGCUGCGAUGGAUAGCUGGUCUGAGAGGAUGAUCAGUCACACUGGGACUGAAAUACGGCCCAGACUCCUACGGGAGGCAGCAGUAGGGAAUUUUGGGCAAUGGGGGAAACCCUGACCCAGCAACGCCGCGUGAGUGAAGAUGGCCCUCGGGUCGUAAAGCUCUGUCAGGUGGGAAGAAUAAAGGCCGGGUAACGCCGGUCCUUGACCACCACCAAAGGAAGCACCGGCUAACUCCGUGCCAGCAGCCGCGGUAAUACGGAGGGUGCAAGCGUUGUCCGGAAUUAUUGGGCGUAAAGGGCGUGUAGGCGGCCCGGUAAGUCUGAUGUGAAAGCCCUCGGCUCAACCGAGGAAGUGCAUUGGAAACUGUCGGGCUUGAGUGCGGGAGAGGAAGGUGGAAUUCCCAGUGUAGCGGUGAAAUGCGUAGAUAUUGGGAGGAACAUCUGUGGCGAAGGCGGCCUUCUGGACCGUCACUGACGCUGAGACGCGAAAGCGUGGGGAGCAAACAGGAUUAGAUACCCUGGUAGUCCACGCUGUAAACGGUGAGCACUAGGUGUCGGGAGUAUCGACCCUUCCGGUGCCGGAGCUAACGUUUUAAGUCCGCCGCCUGGGGAGUACGGCCGCAAGGCUAAAACUCAAAGGAAUUGACGGGGGCUCACACAAGCGGUGGAGCAUGUGGAUUAAUUCGAAGCAACGCGCAGAACCUUACCUGGGUUUGACAUGUGCGGAUGCCCUCUUGGAAACAGGAGUAAGCUGCCUUCGGGUGAAACGUACACAGGUGCUGCAUGGCUGUCGUCAGCUCGUGCUGUGAAGUGUCAGGUUAAGUCCCUCAACGAGCGAAACCCCUAUCGUUAGUUGCCAGCGGGUCAUGCCGGGGACUCUAGCGAGACCGCCGGCGUCAAGCCGGAGGAAGGUGGGGAUGACGUCAAGUCAUCAUGGCCCUUAUGCCCAGGGUGUCACACGUGCUACAAUGGUCGGUACAGAGCGACGCGAGACCGAGAGGUGGAGCAAAUCGCAGAAAGCCGGCCCCAGUUCGGAUUGGAGUCUGCAACUCGACUCCAUGAAGUUGGAAUCGCUAGUAAUCGCGUAUCAGCCACGACGCGGUGAAUGUGUUCCUGAGCCUUGUACACACCGCCCGUCAAGUCAUGGAAGCCGGGAGUAUCCGAAGUCCGUUUAGCUAACCGCAAGGGAGCGGCGGCCGACGGUAAGACUGGUGACUGGGACU
rnacentral:rRNA from 1 species